rnacentral:tRNA from 1 species
GCCUGGGUGGCUCAGUUGGUUAAGUAUCUGAUUUCAGCUCGGGUCAUGAUCUCAUGAUCCGUGGGUUCGAGUCCCACGUCGGGCU